rnacentral:rRNA from 1 species
ACACACCGCCCGUCACACCAUGAGAGUUUGUAACACCCGAAGCCGGUGGCGUAACCCUUUUAGGGAGCGAGCCGUCUAAGGUGGGACAAAUGAUUAGGGUGAAGUCGUAACAAGGUAGCCGUAGGAGAACCUGCGGCUGGAUCACCUCCUUUCUAAGGAAACAG